CCUAUAUUACGGGGGGCCGGACCCAAAGUACAGCGUACUCCGCUUGCUUUGACCUGCCCUGUCUGAAUAUUCUACCCAUGUCUUUUGCGUACUAUUUGUUUCCUUGGUGGGCUUGCCUGCCAUUAGGACACUAUACAAACCUUUUGUAAUUGCAAUCAGCGUCAGAAAUAACUUAAUUGUUA
rnacentral:misc_RNA from 1 species